AUUGAACGCUGGCGGCAGGCCUAACACAUGCAAGUCGAGCGGAUGAAGGGAGCUUGCUCCUGGAUUCAGCGGCGGAAGGGUGAGUAAUGCCUAGGAAUCUGCCUGGUAGUGGGGGAUAACGUCCGGAAACGGGCGCUAAUACCGCAUACGUCCUGAGGGAGCAAGUGGGGGAUCUUCGGACCUCACGCUAUCAGAUGAGCCUAGGUCGGAUUAGCUAGUUGGUGGGGUAAAGGCCUACCAAGGCGACGAUCCGUAACUGGUCUGAGAGGAUGAUCAGUCACACUGGAGCUGAGACACGGUCCAGACUCCUACGGGAGGCAGCAGUGGGGAAUAUUGGACAGUGGGCGAAAGCCUGAUCCAGCCAUGCCGCGUGUGUGAAGAAGGUCUUCGGAUUGUAAAGCACUUUAAGUUGGGAUGAAGGGCAGUAAGUUAAUACCUUGCUGUUUUGACGUUACCAACAGAAUAAGCACCGGCUAACUUCGUG
rnacentral:rRNA from 1 species